rnacentral:rRNA from 1 species
CCUACGGGAGGCAGCAGUGGGGAAUAUUGCACAAUGGGGGAAACCCUGAUGCAGCGACGCCGCGUGAAGGAAGAAGGUUUUCGGAUCGUAAACUUCUAUCAGCAGGGAAGAAGAAAGUGACAGUACCUGACUAAGAAGCCCCGGCUAACUACGUGCCAGCAGCCGCGGUAAUACGUAGGGGGCAAGCGUUGUCCGGAAUCACUGGGUGUGAAGGGUGCGUAGGCGGUAGUGCAAGUCAGAGGUGAAAGCCCGUGGCUCAACUCCGAGAUUGCAUUUGAAACUGUCUUACUAGAGAGGAGGAGAGGAAAGCAGAAUUCCUAGGGUGCCGGUGAAAUGAGUAGAUAGUAGAAAGAGCACCAGUGGCGAAGGCGGCAUUCUGGACUGUAACUAACGCGGAGGCACGAAAGGGUGGAGAGCGAACAGGAUUAGAUACCCCAGUAGUC